AAACAUUACGAUAGACUCGAUAAAUUGUCCUUAAAUUACACGUAUGAUAUAAACAAACAAUGUUUUUAUAUAUCGACUAGUUACUGGAGUUUGUGUUGUUCCACUUUAAUAAUAUUUUAAUUAAUAAUAUUAAAUUUAUUACAUUCCCCUAAACUUCCUUAAUAAUAGUAUCCUUACGCAAAAUGGAACAUUUCUUAUAUGGCAUAUUUUAACUUCUUAAGUAUUCAAUGCCAAAUCGUUCCGUGGAUUCCAAGAAAACGAAAAAAAGAAGAAGAAGAAAUAAAAGAAAUAAAAAAGAAAAAGAAGGGAACGAAGAGAUAUGAAAUUCCUUUAUUAUUAAUUCCAAGUCGGUUGGUGUAAAAUGCAAAAUGUCGGAGACGCCCACCUUCCUUUGGUGACAUUGGCAAGAAUGUUUUCAAGAGCGAUAAAAGCUCCGAGAAUAUCGUAAAUCUUAAAAGAAUGAGCCAUUGAGAAAACAACGCUGCACUCGAGAAAACACGAUAAGAUUGUGCCUUAUGUUCGCGAGAUACGGAACUCCGUUUAAACUUAAAUAUAAAAUUCUUUCAUAUACCCGAUGCUAUAUGCGAUUUCAAAAUGAAGAGAAGAAAAUGAUUUUGUGACGUGAUUCUACGCAAGGAUGCGUCCUCGGAAGUUAACUUGAAGAGAGAAAGAACCGAUAAAAAAGAGAGAGAGAGAGAGAGAGAGCGAUGAGGAAGGAGGAGGGAGUCGUUUGUCGCGGCAGCCAUUCGCUUUCCGCAUGGAGUAUAAAUUAGAAGCGGUGCAACCGUGCGUGCCACGCGCGAUCCGGCACGCCAAGACGAACAAAUAGGCCAAGUGGAAAAGGAUUUGGGUGACUGUAUAUGGUUGCUCUCGACACUGUGUCGAAUCGGACGCGUCCUUCGAUCCCAGAAGAAAUUUUCUUCGGUUUUACUUUCACGAAGAAAGAUCAUCGAUCUCUGGACAUUCUUCUUCUGUUUCUUCUCUCUAAUGUCCAUCCUCGUUCAAGAUCUGUACGAAAUCGAAGGUCAUCUUAUGCAAGCAAGAAAUGACGAUGCAAUAUAGCAUCGAGCAAAAUCUUUUUUAUCCUCUUGAUUAAACAACAAUAAAAUAUAACUUUUAUAGAUAACACCAUUAUAUUCUCUGGAAGUAAUAAUGAAAUGCGACGCAUACGAAAUUCAACGUUUACUCAACAGCGUAUCGUUGUCGACUGAGGACUUGAAGGACGGUGCUGCCUGACAAGGACACUCAUAAAGGUCCUUUCUAAAUGAUAGAUAUCUAUUUUUAACAAUAGCACACCCAGGU